GUGAAUCAUUUAACAGACUCUCUGAUCCAGAGCCACUACAGUAGUGAGUCAUUUAGCAGACUCUCUGAUCCAGAGCCACACAUUUUUCAUACUUUUUUGAACUGGUCCCCCAUGGGAAAUGAAACUCAACUCUGGCGUGACAAGCGCUAUGCUCUACCAACUGAGCCACCCAACAUUCUCCAACCAUAGACCCAGAUGUUCUCCAUAAAAACAACAAAAACAAGAGUCAGUAGAGAUCAGAUUGCACAUCACCAGAUGAAGAGGUUUGGAGACACUACAGGGUCCCAGUCUAUAGAUGAAGAGGUUUGGAGACACUACAGGGUCCCAGUCUAUAGAUGAAGAGGUUUGGAGACACUACAGGGUCCCAGUCUAUAGAUGAAGAGGUUUGGAGACACUACAGGGUCCCAGUCUAUAGGUGAGACACUACAGGGUCCCAGUCUAUAGGUGAGACACUACAGGGUCCCAGUCUAUAGGUGAGACACCACAGGGUUCCAGUCUAUAGGUGAGACACCACAGGGUCCCAGUCUAUAGGUGAGACACCACAGGGUCCCAGUCUAUAGGUGAGACACCACAGGGUUCCAGUCUAUAGGUGAGACACCACAGGGUUCCAGUCUAUAGGUGAGACACCACAGGGUUCCAGUCUAUAGGUGAGACACCACAGGGUUCCAGUCUAUAGGUGAAGAGGUUUGGAGACACUACAGGGUUCCAGUCUAUAGAUGAAGAGGUUUAGAGACACUACAGGGUCCCAGUCUAUAGAUGAAGAGGUUUGGAGACACUACAGGGUCCCAGUCUAUAGGUGAGACACUACAGGGUCCCAGUCUAUAGGUGAGACACCACAGGGUUCCAGUCUAUAGGUGAGACACCACAGGGUUCCAGUCUAUAGGUGAAGAGGUUUGGAGACACUACAGGGUCCCAGUCUAUAGGUGAAGAGGUUUGGAGACACUACAGGGUCCCAGUCUAUAGAUGAAGAGGUUUGGAGACACUACAGGGUCCCAGUCUAUAGGUGAGACACUACAGGGUCCCAGUCUAUAGGUGAGACACUACAGGGUCCCAGUCUAUAGGUGAGACACCACAGGGUUCCAGUCUAUAGGUGAGACACUACAGGGUUCCAGUCUAUAGGUGAAGAGGUUUGGAGACACUACAGGGUUCCAGUCUAUAGAUGAAGAGGUUUAGAGACACUACAGGGUCCCAGUCUAUAGGUAAGACACCACAGGGUUCCAGUCUAUAGGUGAGACACUACAGGGUUCCAGUCUAUAGGUAAGACACCACAGGGUUCCAGUCUAUAGGUGAGACACUACAGGGUUCCAGUCUAUAGGUGAGACACUACAUGGUUCCAGUCUAUAGAUGAACAACAACAAAUUGUAGCUAGUCUGUUACUAUUGCUGAUUCAAUACGACACAGACUGCUACGGCUUCAGUCAUUAAAUUAAUCUCUGAAAUGUACAAUUUGACCACAAGCUAUUACAUCAAUGACAGUAUAUUGCCCUGCUGCUGUCUAAUGGUGUGUUGCUGUCUAAUGGUGUGCUGCUGUCUAAUGGUGUGUUGUCCUGUUGCUGUCUAAUGGUGUUGUCCUGUUGCUGUCUAAUGGUGUGUUGCUCUCUAAUGGUGUUUUGUCCUGUUGCUGUCUAAUGGUGUGUUGCUCUCUA